GAUGAACGCUGGCGGCGUGCCUAAUACAUGCAAGUCGAGCGAACGGACGAGAAGCUUGCUUCUCUGAUGUUAGCGGCGGACGGGUGAGUAACACGUGGAUAACCUCCCUAUAAGACUGGGAUAACUUCGGGAAACCGGAGCUAGUACCGGAUAAUAUUUUGAACCGCAUGGUUCAAAAGUGAAAGACGGUCUUGCUGUCACUUAUAGAUGGAUCCGCGCUGCAUUAGCUAGUUGGUAAGGUAACGGCUUACCAAGGCAACGAUGCAUAGCCGACCUGAGAGGGUGAUCGGCCACACUGGAACUGAGACGCGGUCCAGACUCCUACGGGAGGCAGCAGUAGGGAAUCUUCCGUAAUGGGCGAAAGCCUGACGGAGCAACGCCGCGUGAGUGAUGAAGGUCUUCGGAUCGUAAAACUCUGUUAUUAGGGAAGAACAUAUGUGUAAGUAACUGUGCACAUCUUGACGGUACCUAAUCAGAAAGCCACGGCUAACUACGUG
rnacentral:rRNA from 1 species